CGAAAGCCUGACGGAGCAAUACCGCGUGAGGGAGGAAGGCUCUUGGGUUGUAAACCUCUUUUCUUAGGGAAGAAGCUCUGACGGUACCUAAGGAAUAAGCAUCGGCUAACUCCGUGCCAGCAGCCGCGGUAAUACGGAGGAUGCAAGCGUUAUCCGGAAUCAUUGGGCGUAAAGCGUCCGUAGGUGGCAGUUCAAGUCUGCUGUUAAAGGCUGGGGCUUAACCCCAGACAGGCAGUGGAAACUGAACAGCUAGAGUGUGGUAGGGGUAGAGGGAAUUCCCGGUGUAGCGGUGAAAUGCGUAGAUAUCGGGAAGAACACCGGUGGCGAAAGCGCUCUGCUGGACCACAACUGACACUGAGGGACGAAAGCU
rnacentral:rRNA from 1 species